rnacentral:rRNA from 1 species
GACGAACGCUGGCGGCGCGCCUAACACAUGCCAGUCGAACGAUCGAGCGAGAGCUUGCUUUCUCGAGCGAGUGGCGAACGGGUGAGUAACGCGUGAGGGACCUGCCUCAAAUAGGGGGAGAACAGUUGGAAACGACUGCUAAUACCGCAUAAACCCACGACCCACCAUCGGGUAGAGGUAAAAGGAGCCAUCCGCUUUGAGAUGGACUCGCGUCCGAUUAUCUGAGUGGUGAGGUGACGGACCACCAAGGCGACGAGCCGUAGCCGGACUGAGAGGUUGACCGGGAACACUGGGACUGAGACACGGCCCAGACUCCUACGGGAGGCAGCAGUGGGGAAUAUUGCACAAUGCGGGAAAGAAUGAUGCAGCGACGUCGCGUGGAGGAAGAAGGUCUUAGGAUUGUAAAUUACUGUUGUUGAGGCAGAUAAUGACGGUACUCUACCAGGAAGUGACGGCUAACUACGUG